AUAACAACCCUUCGAGCCGACUUGGCUUGGUCUUGGGGCUCGCCCGCGUUUGGCGCGGCGGCUCUUAAACGCAGUGGCGGUGCCGGUAGUGCUUUCCGCGUAGUCACAUUUCUCGCGCGAGGGCAGGAUCCGGACCCAGCCAGCAACCACAAAGUCGGCGGCGCUCUGCGCGGCGACUUUGUACUUCUUCUGG
rnacentral:misc_RNA from 1 species